rnacentral:rRNA from 1 species
GAGGGGUGCAAACGUUAUUCGGAAUCACUGGGCGUAAAGGGUGCGUAGACGGCUCAUUAAGCUCGUUGUUAAAUUUCCCGGCCUAACCGGGGGCAAGCGGCGGGAACUGGUGUGCUAGAGGAUGAAAGAGAGAAGUGGAAUUCCCGGAGUAGCGGUAAAAUGCGUGGAUCUCGGGAGGAACAUCAAUGGCGUAAGCAGCUUCUUGGUUCAUUCCUGACGUUGAGGCACGAGAGCGUGGGGAGCAAACAGGAUUAGAUACCCUGGUAGUCCACGCCGUAAACGAUGACCACUAGACGUCGGGUUGGCUUUGCUAACUCGGUGUCGAAGCUAACGCGUUAAGUGGUUCGCCUGGGGAGUACGGUCGCAAGAUUA